AUUGAACGCUGGCGGCAUGCCUUACACAUGCAAGUCGAACGCGAAAGGGGGGCAACUCCUGAGUAGAGUGGCGCACGGGUGAGUAAUGCAUCGGAACGUGUCCUGUAGCGGGGGAUAACCUAGCGAAAGCUAGGCUAAUACCGCAUACGCCCUGAGGGGGAAAGUGGGGAUCGUAAGACCUCACACUAUAGGAGUGGCCGAUGCCGGAUUAGCUAGUUGGUGGGGUAAAGCCUACCAAGGCGACGAUCCGUAGCUGGUCUGAGAGGAUGAUCAGCCACACUGGGACUGAGACACGGCCCAGACUCCUACGGGAGGCAGCAGU
rnacentral:rRNA from 1 species